ACUAAAUAAACCAAUUUCUGGAGGAUUUGUUUUUUCAGAUACUUACUAUUUACUUGAGUAGGUACCUAUUAAUGUAUCAAUUUUAUUAUAAUUAACUAAGCUAAUCAUCUUUAAUAUUAAUAUCACUGCUUUAAUUUUUCAUUGAAGUUUUUAAAUAAAUGCAUAAGUAUGGUAACUUAUCUAGAGGUACAGUUGGAGUGAGACAAAAUCAAAUAUUCCUAAUACCGGUAACCAAUUCAACGUUUGUAAAAAUUUGAUUAUAAAAUUAUCAUAAGAAAAUAAUCAAGACUUUUUUAUCAUCGUGGCAAUUGCCUAACAUAGACUAGGUACUACAUGAUCAUAUUUUGAACAUUCUUACAAAACAUUCAAGAUGAAAAGACGCGCCAUAAUUUUCUUAUUUUUCAAUAGAAUUGCAUCAGUUUUUCAACUUCCACUUUCUCAAACUGACAUUACUACUGGUCUAAAUGCUGAACAUGAAGCGUUAUUGCUUCGUUUAGGAUACAACGAUACAUCUGCAAUAGACUGGAAAGUUGCUUUUGCACGUCUUGCAGGAAGACAUAUAUAUUUAGAGGAACUACUUAGAAAAGAACGUCUCAUGGCAUCAAUAAAAUCAAAAAUUGAGUUCUGGGAAGAUAUGCUGACACCGAACUAUAAGUUUUUUGGAAAGCAGAAAGAUAACACUGUGAAUGUGGAUUUACACAAAGAACGAUGGAAGUGGAUAGUCCUGAACUGCAGAUCUGAUCCCUUUGUAAUAAAAAUAAGUUUAUUUAUAAAGAAUCAUCUGAAUGGCGAUUUUGAUUCGUUUUGCACAAGAAUUUCUUGGUUUUUUACAUUUACAACUCGAUCAGAAGAUAUACCUCCGUUGCAUCAAUACAAUGUAGAAGAAGUAGACGAAAUAAUGCGCUCUAAAUUUAAAGUUAACGAUAAUAUCACAUUAGAGCUAAUUCAUUUUUUUAUGAAAACAUGAAUGAAUGUGAUUAGUUGAAAUAAAUUUAUGGCUGGUGCGUU